rnacentral:rRNA from 1 species
UACGUAGGGUGCAAGCGUUGUCCGGAAUUAUUGGGCGUAAAGAGCUCGUAGGCGGUCUGUCGCGUCUGCUGUGAAAACUCGGGGCUUAACCCCGGGCCUGCAGUGGGUACGGGCAGACUAGAGUGCGGUAGGGGAGACUGGAAUUCCGGGUGUAGCGGUGGAAUGCGUAGAGAUCCGGAAGAACACCGGUGGCGAAGGCGGUCUGCUGGGCAGUAGCUGACACUGAGGCGCGACAGCGUGGGGAGCAAACAGG